rfam:Gossypium hirsutum cultivar TM-1 chromosome 21, whole genome shotgun sequence
AAUGGAAGAAUGAUAAAUAAGAUUUUUCCUCAUGAUUUUCAAUUUUUUUCCCCUGAACAAAUUUAAAUCCAACUAAAAAUGUUAAAAAUCAGGAGGAAAAAUCUUAUUUGUCAUUCACCUAUU